CCUCACGCCCUGUCCUGAGCUCUCCCACUGUCACCCUUGUGUUGCUCUUCCAGUUUCUGUGACAGUGGGCCUGCCCCCUCUGCAAACACAGAUGGGGAAAGU